AUGCUGGACAAAACGUUGCGUUUGGUGUGGAUACGGUUCCGAAAUCAUGUGACGGUUCAUCUUCCUCUCAAAGUACGAUCUCUUCUUCUUGUCUCUCUCUUUCCAUUGCACAAGAUCUUCCUCACAGCCAUGACCGCCAUGCCUCUCCUACUUCUCCGAUCGCCUUUAUCUCCUUCGCGCUUCAAUCACAGCGGCUCCGCCUUAAUUCAUUCUGACUAG